UACAGAGGUCUCAAGCGUUGUUCGGAUUCAUUGGGCGUAAAGGGUGCGUAGGCGGCGCGGUAAGUCGGGUGUGAAAUCUCCGGGCUCAACCCCGAAACUGCAUUUGAUACUGCCUUGCUCGAGUACUGGAGAGGAGAUUGGAAUUUACGGUGUAGCAGUGAAAUGCGUAGAUAUCGUAAGGAAGACCAGUGGCGAAGGCGAAUCUCUGGACAGUUACUGACACUGAGGCACGAAGGCCAGGGGAGCAAACGGG
rnacentral:rRNA from 1 species